rnacentral:rRNA from 1 species
CAUGUCCUUUUGAUAAUAAUUUAAGGUCUAAUCUGCCCACUGAUAUUUAAAUGGCCGCAGUAAUUUGACUGUGCUAAGGUAGCAUAAUAAAUAGUUUUUUAAUUGAAAGCUGGUAUGAAUGAUUGAAUGAAAUAAUAACUGUCUCAAAUUUAUUUAUUUAGAAUUUUAUAUUUAAGUUAAAAAGCUUAAAUAAUUUUAAAAGACGAGAAGACCCUAUAGAGUUUUAUAAUUAAUUUUUAAUAUAAAAUAUUAUAUAAAUAUAUUAUUGAUUUUUAAUUAUUUAGUUGGGGUGAUUGAAAAAUUUAGUUAACUUUUUUUAAAUAAAUACAUUAAUUUAUGAUUAAAUGAUCCAUUUUUAAUGAUUAUAAGAAUAAAUUACCUUAGGGAUAACAGCGU